ACUAAUAAUUUCAAAAUUUCAAUUGCUGUCCUCUUUCCUCCUAAUUUUCAAAUUCAAAGCAUUGUUGAUUCUUUCUCUCACAAAACAACCUAACAAAUCUUUCAACCACAAAUUCCCAUCACUGAAACCAAUCAUGAGUAUCAACUUCCCCUAACCAAUUCAUUCCACCACACCAUCAAUAACUAAUUAACAAUGUCACGUAAAUUCUUAUCAUCACUACUUCGAACUUCCACAACCCAUUCCACUACCUCACAAUGCCACGCUCAAACCAUCCUCCAAUCCUUACUUCCAAACGUCAUUCUUGAAACCGACCUUUUGUUGGCUUACUCAAAAUUGGGCCUAAUGGGUCACGCUCGCAAACUGUUCGACAAAAUGUCGCAAAGAAAUAUGCAUUCUUGGAACAUCAUGAUUGCUUCUUAUGCUCAUAACUCAAUGUUUUUCGAUGCCUUAACCGUUUUUCAAGGCUUUAAAAGAUGUGGGUCAUUGCCGGAUCGUUAUACUUUGCCGCCAUUGUUUAAAAUUUCUGUGGGAAUUGGUGAACCUUACUUUGGAUGGAUGUGUCAUGGUUUGGUCAUAAAGCUUGGUUACGUGGAAAUUGUUGUCGUAACUAAUUCUGUCCUUGAGUUUUAUGUCAAAUGUGGGACCAUGUCUCAGGCUUUGUCUGUGUUCUCCCAUCAUAAUGGUUCUUGGGAUUCUGUGACAUGGAAUUUGAUGAUUUCUGGGUUUGGAAAGGCUGGCUUGUAUUCUGAUGCUAUCCGUUGUUUCAGAGAGAUGUUGAAGCAUCAAAGUGGGACUGAGUUGGAUUACAUGAUACUCCCUAGCAUUUUGAGUGCUUGUGGGAAGGAAGGGGAUUUGUUGAAAGUGAAGGAAGUGCAUGGCUUUAUUGUUAGGAACUUUAGUUUUGGUGUUGAUGUUCCCAUUGGGAAUGCAUUGAUUGAUAAUUAUGGCAAAUGUGGUUGCUUGAAGGAUUCGGAAAAUGUCUUCAAGACCAUGAGCUGUGUAAAUUUGGUGACAUUGACGACUAUGAUAUCUUGUUUUGGGAUGCAUGGAAAGGGGGAGGAGUCAGUUUUUCUAUUUGAGAAGAUGAUCCAUGAGGGGUUUAAACCAAAUGCUGUUACUCUCACAGCUAUUUUAGCUAGUUGUAGCCACUCUGGUUUGGUGGAUCAAGGCAAGAAGAUUUUCAACUCAAUGAUUUCAGAUUAUGGAUUUGAACCCACUGCUGAACAUUAUGCCUGUAUGGUGGAUCUUUUUGGCCGCUGUGGGUGUCUUGAGGAAGCCCUUCAGUUGUUGAAAAGAAUGAAGUCUUCAUCAGUGACAGGAAGCAUGUGGGGUGCCCUUCUUGCCAGUUGUGUCAUGCACAAGAAUGUCGAAAUUGGAGAAGUUGCAGCGUAUCAUCUUUUUCAAUUAGAGCCAAAUAAUACUAGCAACUAUGUAGCUUUGUGUGGAAUCUAUCAGUCUCGUGGUAUGGCUCAUGGCUUUUCAACUGUUAGAGCAAAGAUGAGGGAUUUAGGUUUGAUUAAAACUCCUGGAUGUAGCUGGAUAAAUACUGCAGGAAGAGCUCAUAAAUUCUACCAAGGGGACCUUUCUCAUCCACUUUCUGAUAUGAUUUGCAAGAUACUAUACGAAAUUAGCAACACUCAGAUAUCAACUGAUGAUUUGGGAGUAGGAUAUUUGCUCCAUGAUUUAUGAUGAUAAUACUGUCAUGGCUUUCUAGAAGAACAUUAGAGCCAGUUCAUCUGAGCCGAGUCAGGAAGGGAUCAGCAUUAAAGUAAUGUGAUUGCUAAAUGUUGUGGUUUUAUGAUUCUUGUCAGUUACUAUCUUUAACCAACAUUGUAUACAAGGCUUAUGUAUCAAAUCAUCUUUUGUGGGGGUGUCAACUGUCAAGAGGUUCUCCCAUCUCAAAGCCUAUGACUGAUUUCAGCUGAAAUGGUAAUUGCUUAGGUCACCUUUACAUUUAUGUCUUGCUUUUUUUAUUUUGUGGCAUUUUUUUUUCUCUUUCAAAAAUAAUGGGCAAGACAUAAAUGAAUAACUGAUCUGAGUCAAGUUUUCAGCCAAUAUGGAGAAUCAGAAUAUGUGAAGAUUCCAGUGGACAAAUGAUGCAGCACUCUUAUUGUUCCUUGAUUUUUCAUGCAUCCUGCUGUGCAGAAGAGGCACUAUGAAAUUUAAAUGGAAUGUUACUGAGAGGACAAGAUGUUCCACUUUCAUGUGUCUGCAGUCCUUCAAACAAACAGGUAAUUGUAUUCACUGAGGUUGAUAGAUGUGGCACCUAUCGCAGAUAAGAUGGCAGUAUCUUAUGAGUUAUGAUAUUGUUAUUGAAUAAUAGUUUAUAUUAUAAUAAUAAUAAUAAUAAUCUAUAAAGUAGACUAUUUUAAAU